AAGACUAUUUUCAGGGAUCAUUUCUAUAGUUUAUUACUGGAGAAGUUUCUCUGAACCAGAAAACACUAGGAGGAGGUGCAGCAUUCUCUCCUGAGCAUGAAGCCAGCACUUGGUGUUGCUUCACUGCAAUUGCCAUUUGCCAUUGAUGAUGGUGAAUGGUUCCUGUUAAAAAGAAAAGCUUCCCAA
rnacentral:snoRNA from 1 species